AGGAUGUAGUUGUUCUUAGAUUUGUUAAGAAAACCAUAAGAAGAUAAUUGCUCGCUUUACCAGUAAAUCCAAAAUAAUAUGUAAGGAAAAAUAAAAAUGAAUCCAAGUAUCAAUUUGUAUUGGAAGGAAAGCUAACUUCGUUAAUAAAAAUUUUAUAAUCAACCCCAAUAUUUCUUAUCUUUGUUUGGUUGGUUAGUGUUCAAUUUAACUGGGUAUUGUCAACUUAAUAAACUUGAGGAGGUGGAUUUGAGUAGAAAUGAGUAUGUAGAAUUACUUUUACUUGUAAUCUUUUCUAUACACUUUCCUCGGCUCCGUUGCAAUCAUAUUCGAACCAAUAUAAAAUGGAAGGGUAUGAAUUUCGCAAUUGUGGCAUCCCAUCAUAUCUAGAGAACAUGACAUCUCUUCUUAUUGAUUGAAGUAUCGAGGAAUAAGUCUGGAGAAAUUGAUGUGUCUUUGCCUUCGAAACUCACUUCACUUGAAUAUUUCCAUUUUGAGUAACAACUUUCACGUGCCUAUUUCCUUUGAGGCUUUAAUUAAUCCUUCAACUCUUUGUCUCAUAUUUGCCGAAGAAAAUGAAGUAAUAGCAAGUAUUGAGUCACUACUAGAGAUGGAGGCUUUAGAGACAGUUUUCUACCAACGGAAGCCAUCCAUUGCUAUUAGUGACAGAUUCCCACGAUUUUCCUACGAAAUGUUACAAAAAUUCUAUAAAUAUAAAAUAAAUGUGGUAGCAAUGGAAUUUAUCAACAAAAUGUAGCCGCAAUUUAGAUUUCGUUUUUAACCCGUGGGUAAAUUUUCUUAAAAAAUAUAUACAAAAAUAUAAAAAUUACCAGCGAAGAUUGUGACUACUAAUGAUUGUAAAAUUUAAAAAAAUAAAAUAAAACAUUAAUUGAAAUUUACCUACAGAUUUAUUCGUUGUUAAUACACUAAAUAUUUGUUUGUAACAUAUUCAUAUUAAUUUUUGUAACUGUAAAAUAUUUCCUACAACUUGUCUUGUUAGAAAAUGAUUUAAUUCUAAAUUAAAUAUGAAAGUAGGGGGGGCAAAACCCAUGGCUCAUCUCGUUCCCCUCACUCUACAUUUCUCCCAUGGCUCUACUCAUCUGUGUCUCUCGAAAUACUGGGCAUUGCCGAUGCUAACCUUCAAUUGAUUGAUAUAGUAUCAAUCAUCAAUUAUUGAGAAUCUUCUCUGAGCUAAGCUGUCUAAGAUUUAAUUCCUUUAGAAUUUUUUUCUUCUCCAGAAAGUUGUAUUGGGAAUUUCAUUAGACUGCAUUUGGCUGAAUUUGUGUGAGUUUUGUAGUGGAGGGAACUUGUAUUUAGGUAAAGCAUAAUCCGUUAUAAUUCAUAUAUUUGUUGAUAGUUAGUAUCCUAUUUCGAUUUUAAGUUAGGAUUACUAGGUCAUGCUGCUUUUGUAGUGGAAGAUCAGGUUUUUUAUAUUUGAGACUUACCUUCAAUGUUGGAACUUUUAAUUAGUAAAUGGCAAAAUACAACCUUUGAAUCAGUGAGUUUGCAUUUGUAGUAGAUGGUCAGGUUUCAUAGGCUUGCUUUGAAUGACGGAGCUUUUAAUUAGUAAAUGGCAAAGUACAACCUUUGAAUAAUGAGACUAGAUUUCAUAAUUUUUGUUGACAGACAUAUUAUAUCUCUAUUGUUAAGUUAAGAUUGAUGGGAUAUAGUGCAAUAAUAGAGUGGAAUAUCAUGUUAUUUCGAUGUACACUAAAUGUGUAAACUUCCUAGAUCCGCCCCUGCAGGUAAGUAAAUUAAGGAGAGUGUUAGGGGAAUUUCAAGUAGAGAAAAUGCUUAGAAAUUUGGAGUAUUGUGGAAGAAUGUAUAUCUGUUUUUACCUUGUAGAGUGCAAUAUAGACUUGCAUAGUUUUGGGUCUGGGAAAAAAAUAUUAAAUUGUGAGUAGAGACUUGCUUCAUUUUAUUGAUGAUUUCUUGUUUUUGCUAUUUAAUAAUCUGGGAAAUUUUACUAGUAUAGUUUCAGAUUUUCUAAUUUUUCUUAUGUUUUUCUUAUGUUGUUUACUUAUCGAGCUUAAUCAUAAGAAGAAAUUACCAACAAAUGAUGUGUUUAUACUGGCUCAUCAUGCUCAACAAGUAUAUUACACACGUUUUCCAACGAAGGCUAGAGAUAGACUUGAUUGGUGGGCGGUUUUGAACCCAAAAGCAAGAAAAUGUUCCCAAUAUACAAGGAAUCAUAUCGGAGAAUGAAGAGUGUAAUGUGAGGGUGGAACUUGCAUUCCAAGAGGAUCAACUACCAUCUACCCAAAAACCUAUUCGAAUAAAUUCAGAAUUUGAUGGCCAAAAUUUAGUUCAUAAUGAUAUUGGGGCUGAAAAAGUGGAUGUGGCUGAAUCUAGGAUCUUUGAUGUAGAUUCUGAAAGGCAUCAUGUCGAAGAAAAUACACAACUGGAGGACAUUGACAGUAGUGAUGGUUUCACAACAUGUGCAAGUGAAGUAGAAAAUUGAAACAUUUGACAUGUUUGUGGAAAAGGGAAUAAUGGCCAGGCUGGACAACAAGCUGGGUGAUGUUUUGGUUCGAGAGACACGAUAAUGGUGUAUGCCAACUCAACUUCUAGUGAAUGUGCCCAUUCGUAAUUUCACAUCAUGAGAAAUUAGGCAAGCCACAUACUGCUUCAAAGUUAUUCGAACGUGUACACCGUCGAAACAAAGGAGAAGGAGACUUCUUAGACAUCAAGUCACUAAUUGUGUGGGUAAAAUAUGACAAUACAAUUCAUGAAAAAUAUGGUUCAAAUGGGUCACGGCUUGAAAUUGACAUUAAGCAUGGUGUGAGACAACUCAAGGUCCUCAUAAAGGUGGUUGCCUAUAGGAGCUUGGUAUACAAUGAAAAUUUUUUGCACAAAGAUGGCACCUCAUCGGGUUCACCUAGUUUUCCAUGGACACGCUGAUUUCGUCACUUUACAAGAGGAACUUCAUUUCGCUUGUGAAAAGAUAAAUGAACUUACAAGGGAAAAUGAUGGAUUACUUCAAAAAAUGGAAGAUGUUAGGCGAGAAGAAGAGAAAAAGUGCAUUGAAUUCGAACAAACCAUACUUCGAAUGUUGGGAGAAAGGAAUGGAUCACGAGACUAGUCAUUUGAGUAUGAUGAUCUUCUAUGGUUGGGUAGAGUAAAUGUUUAUUUUCUUCAUAAAAAUUUACCAUUGAAUGUGUGUAAAGCUUCCUUUUGCUAAUUGAUCAUGUAUAUAAUUUUAGUAUUGACUUUUGAAAUGGAAGCAAAACUGGUCUAAUUUUGUGUUACUCAAACCUUGAA